UGUGAGGACAGAGCCUUCCUGCUAUUGGGAGGAUGCAGCAACAAGGUGUCAUCUUGGAAGCAGGGAUCAGCCCUCACCAGAAAACCAAAUCUGCCACCACCUUGAACUUAGACUUCCCAGCCUUGAGAACUAACACUACAUUGGGAAGGAUUCAUCAUCAUGACCAGAUGUCACAUGGGUCUAUGAUGCCAAAAAAGGAAGAUCCCUGGAGAACAGUAGGCAGAGGGAACAGAGUGUGCAACACCAGAGCAGCGAGCACUGGGAGAGACAAAUGUCCCGAGUCUCUGGAUCCUGCCAGAGAGGAAGAGCUUGGAGGGAAGCAAUGUGGUUAAGAGA
rnacentral:lncRNA from 1 species